rnacentral:rRNA from 1 species
UACGUAGGGGGCAAGCGUUGUCCGAAUUUAUUGGGCGUAAAGCGCUCGCAGGUGGUUCGAUGCGUCGUGCGUGAAAGACCCCGGCUCAACUGGGGAGGGUCGUGCGAUACGGUCGAACUGGAGGCCAGUAGGGGGAUGCGGAAUUCCGGGUGUAGUGGUGGAAUGCGUAGAGAUCCGGAGGAACACCAGCGGCGAAGGCGGCAUCCUGGACUGGUCCUGACACUCAUGAGCGAAAGCGUGGGGAGCGAUCCGG